rnacentral:rRNA from 1 species
UUGAUCCUGCGGAAGGUUGCUGCUAUCGGGAUUCGAUUAAGCCAUGCAAGUCUUUCGGAAGAAGGCAAACUGCUCAGUAACACGUCAAUAACUUAACCUUAAGUCAGGGAUACCCUUGGGAAACUGAGGAUAAACCCAGAUGAGAUAAUUCUACUGGAAUGUGAUUUAUCCUAAAUUCGUGCUUAAGGAUAGGUUGGCGGCGGAUUAGGUUGUUGGUGGGGUAAAGGCCCACCAAGCCGAAGAUCCGUAUGGGCCUUGAGAGAGGUAGCCCAGAGAAGGACACUGAGAUACUGGUCCUAGCCCUACGGGGUGCAGCAGGCGCGAAACCUUUACAAUGCACGCAAGUGUGAUAAGGGAAUCCCGAGUGCUCAUGUUUUACAUGGGCUUUUGCCAAGAGUAAAAAUCUUGGCGAAUAAAUGGUGGGUAAGACUGGUGCCAGCAGCCGCGGUAACACCAGCGCCAUGAGUGGCAAUCAACAUUAUUGGGCCUAAAGCGUCCGUAGCCGGUUUGAUAAGUCUUUUGUGAAAUCGUUGUGCUUAACAUAACGCUGUGCAAGAGAUACUGUCUAACUUGGAACUGGGAGGAGUCGGAGGUAUUCUGGGGGGAGCGGUAAAAUGCUAUAAUCCCCGGAGGACCACCUGUGGCGAAAGCGUCCGACUAGAACAGCUUCGACGGUGAGGGACGAAAGCCAGGGGAGCAAACCGGAUUAGAUACCCGGGUAGUCCUGGCCAUAAACGCUGCGAGCAAGGUGUCGCGUAUCUUUCGUGGAUACGCGGUGUCGAAAUGAAGAUGUUAAGCUCGCCGCCUGGGAAGUAUGGUCGCAAGGCUGAAACUUAAAGGAAUUGGCGGGGGAGCACCACAAGGGGUGCGGCGUGCGGUUUAAUCUAAUUCAACGCAGAGCAUCUCACCAGAAGCGACGGCAGGAUGAAGGUCAGUCUAAAGGGCUUACCUGACGAGCCGAGAGGUAGUGCAUGGCCGUCGUCAGCUCGUGCUGUAAAGUGUCCUGUUAAGUCAGGCAACGAGCGAGACCUGUACCUAUAAUUGCUAACAACUCUUUUAGGAGAUUUGUGCACAUUAUAGGAACUGCCCUCGAAAGGGGGAGGAAGGUGCAGGCUACGGUAGGUCUGUAUGCUCCGAAUCUUCUGGGCUACACGCGCGCAACAAUGGUAAGGACAAUGUGAUGCGACUCUGAAAAGAGAAGCUAAUCCUCGAAACCUUAUCUUAGUUCAGAUUGAGGACUGUAAUUCGUCCUCAUGACGCUGGAAUCCCUAGUAAUCGGACGUCAUCAUCGUCCGGUGAAUAUGUCCCUGCUCCUUGCACACACCGCCCGUCAAACCACUCGAGCAGGGUUUGGGUGAGACUUGGUUUUUAAUCAAGCCGAAUCUAAACUCAGUGAGAUGGGUUAAGUCGUCACAAGGUG